rnacentral:rRNA from 1 species
AUUGAACGCUGGCGGAAUGCUUUACACAUGCAAGUCGAGCGGCAGCGCGGCCUUCGGGCUGGCGGCGAGCGGCGAACGGGUGAGUAAUGCAUCGGAACAUGCCCAGUCGGGGGGGAUAACACUUCGAAAGAGGGGCUAAUACGCCAUAGGUCCUGAGGGGGAAAGGGGGGGAUGGCAAGGCCUCGAGCGAUUGGAGGGGCGGAUGUCAGAUGAGUUAGUUGGUGGGGUAAAGGCCUACCAAGGCGACGAUCUGUAGCAGGUCUGAGAGGAUGAUCAGCCACACUGGGACUGAGACACGGCCCAGACUCCUACGGGAGGCAGCAGUGGGGAAUUUUGGACGAUGGAGGCAACCCUGAUCCAGCCAUUCCGCGUGAGUGAAGAAGGCCUUCGGGUUGUAAAGCUCUUUCGGCAGGAACGAAACGGUGGGCUCUAACAUAGUCCGCUAAUGACGGUACCUGAAGAAGAAGCACCGGCUAACUACGUG